rnacentral:rRNA from 1 species
AGGACGAACGCUGGCGGCGUGCUUAACACAUGCAAGUCGAACGGUGAUCCGGUGCUUGCACCGGUGAUCAGUGGCGAACGGGUGAGUAACACGUGAGUAACCUGCCCCCGACUCUGGGAUAACCCCGGGAAAUCGGAGCUAAUACCGGAUACGAGACGCACAGGCAUCUGUUGCGUCUGGAAAGAAUUUCGGUCGGGGAUGGACUCGCGGCCUAUCAGCUAGUUGGUGGGUAAUGGCCCACCAAGGCGAACGACGGGUA